AAAGGAAUUGACGGGGGCCCGCACAAGCGGUGGAGCAUGUGGUUUAAUUCGACGCAACGCGAAGAACCUUACCAGGUCUUGACAUCCUCUGACAGCCUAAGAGAUUAGGUGUUCAGUCUUCGGAUUGACAGAGAGACAGGUGGUGCAUGGUUGUCGUCAGCUCGUGUCGUGAGAUGUUGGGUUAAGUCCCGCAACGAGCGCAACCCUUGUUCUUAGUUGCCAUCAAGUAAAGUUGGGCACUCUAAGGAGACUGCCGGUGACAAACCGGAGGAAGGUGGGGAUGACGUCAAAUCAUCAUGCCCUUUAUGACCUGGGCUACACACGUGCUACAAUGGCCUAUACAAAGGGUAGCGAAGCUGUGAAGUGGAGCCAAUCCCAAAAAGUAGGUCUCAGUUCGGAUUGCAGGCUGCAACUCGCCUGCAUGAAGUAGGAAUCGCUAGUAAUCGCGGGUCAGCAUACCGCGGUGAAUACGUUCCCGGGCCUUGUACACACCGCCCGU
rnacentral:rRNA from 1 species